CAAAGUUUUGUCGUUAGAUAGUUGGUCGCUGUGCUGAAAAUCUUCCAGAACCUGUAAGUAAAAUAUUGCCUCUCAUUGAUAAUGAUAAAAGUGAAAAGCUUUGUCUAUAUCUGAUAACUAUGGAUGUUAUAAAUGUGUGUGAUAUUUUUAAAGAUAUUUUUUCUUCAUGUCUUUUCAGAAAAACAUGACAGCCUGUUGAUUUAAGAUAUGUUAUUACAUUAUAUAUGUUUACAUAGUGCCAGUGAUGAAGUCACUGAGUCUAAUUUAAUUUAUUUUAACAUCUUAAUGUCUUUUGCAGAUUCCUGACCUACGCUCCAAAGCACAGAUCUAGGAUCAGCUCAUCCUCAUCAAAUCCAAACCAGGACCUGAAUAAACCACAAGGGGAACACUGACCUCAGACCAGCGUUUAAACCCCACGUCUUCCUGCCCAGACACUGACUCUCUGUCUAGAGUUCCUCUGUGCUCCAGCCGUAUAUCCAUCCAUCCAUCCAUCCAUCCAUCCAGCCAUCCAGCCAUGGGUCUGAUGAGUGAGGACAUGGAGUGCUGCGUCUGCCUCCAGUCCUACUCUCGUAGGGAGAAGAUCCCUCGGAUGCUCCACUGUAAGCACACAGUCUGUGGGCUGUGCUUGCAGGCGAUGUCCAGGCACCAGAGCGGCCUACUGACAGUCUGCUGCCCACUGUGCCGUUGGGUCACCUGCACCGAGCCCAGCCUCACCCUGCCGGGGUCGCUGUGGGUUAACACUGAGAUCUGGGACCAGAUACCAGACACACAACAGGAAGAGGAGGAGGAGGAAGAGGAGGAAGAGUGGAAGGAAGCUAACAGACAGACACAGACCACUACACAGUACACAUGGUCUCCAUCAAGGCAUUGUGGCCUGAGGCUCAAAAUACAGAAUUUCCUGAGGAGGAUGAGGAGGAUGAAGCACAUUGUACUGUAAACCAAGAAGACGAAGAGCAGAGAAGAAGAAGACUGGAUGUUACCAUUUCAGAGUAGGAGAUACUCAUUGAGUAAUGAAGCUAAUUCACUAAACAGGACCGACCGGGGAUUUUCCAUAAUGAGGCAAGAUUGAACCAAUUAUCCAUGUGCUUUGGGUUUGAUUGACUUUGGGUAUGUGUAAUGUUCUCAGUCAAUUUACCUGGUAAAAUAAGGGUUAAAUAAUAUUAAUAAUAAUGAAGGAUGGAUAGGGGGAGGAAAUAUAAAAGAAGAUAUUAAAUGGAUUGAGGACGAAAGAAAGAUAAAGGAAGUUAUGAAUAGAUAGAUAGAUAGAUAGAUAGAUAGAUAGAUAGAUAGAUAGAUAGAUAGAUAGAUAGAUAGAUAGAUAGAUAGAUAGAUAGAUAGAUAGAUAGAUAGAUAGAUAGAUAGAUAGAUAGAUAGAUAGAUAGAUAGAUAGAUAGAUAGAUAGAUAGAUAGAUAGAUAGAUAGAUAGAUAGAUAGAUAGAUAGAUAAGAUAGAUAGAUAGAUAGAUAGAUAGAUAGAUAGAUAGAUAGAUAGAUAGAUAGAUAGAUAGAUAGAUAGAUAGAUAGAUAGAUAGAGGGGUGAAGGUUAGAGACUUGUGCUGUACAAUGUGUGCUGUGUACAAUACAAUAUACUGUGAACAAUGUUUAUAAUAGAUGUUUAAUCAUUUGAUAAAUGGUGUAUUACUGCGUGAAGGGAAGUGGAUGUUUAGUAUUUAUUAUUACAUCAUUUUAUAACAGCUUUAAUAUUGCAGAUUGAUUGUUGGUUUUAUCAAUGUACUUGUCUGCAUUAUUUCCAAUCCCCCAUAUAAGGGAAGUUGGAUUUGUUUAUCCUCAUUUUACAUGUUUUAUUUAUCUGUUCUGUUUAAAGAGCAUGUUUUUUUUAAUACUGGAAUUAUAUUUAUUGGUAAAUAAAUACAUUAACUUUAAAUUAACCUUGUCUUAGAGUUGUGAAAUUACUUAUUAUUAUCACUACAUUAGGAAAGUAUUUAUUUCCUCUCUUAGUUGGAAAAGAGGAGGGGAGGAGGGGAGCUGUAGGUUAACAAAUACAUUACUCUUCUAUAUGACAGUUUGUAUGAUGACUCGUUAAAUUACAGGAAAUGUUGAAUACAAAUGGAAGACCCAAAGAACU
ensembl:lncRNA